rnacentral:rRNA from 1 species
UACGGAGGGUGCAAGCGUUAUUCGGAUUCACUGGGCGUAAAGGGUGCGCAGGCGGCCGUGUGUGUGAGGCGUGAAAGCCCGGGGCUUAACCCCGGAAUUGCACCUCAAACUACACGGCUAGAGCAUUGGAGAGGGUAGCAGAAUUCACGGUGUAGCAGUGAAAUGCGUAGAUAUCGUGAGGAAUACCAGAGGCGAAGGCGGCUACCUGGACAAUUGCUGACGCUCAGGCACGAAAGCGUGGGGAGCAAAAGGG